rnacentral:tRNA from 1 species
GGGCCUGUAGCUUAGUUGGUAGAGCGCCGCAUUCGCAUUGCGGAGAUCACCGGUUCGACUCCGGUCAGGUCCA